GAGGACCAGGCGAGCGAUCGACGACGGCGGCAGCAGGCUGGGGCUUAGAGGGCUGCGGCAGCAAGCUCCAACGGCGGCUCCAGCGAAAGCAGCAAGCUCCAGCGGGCGACGACAGUUGGGUAUUUUCCUGGUAAUUACCCAGGGUCCGAACCAGAGGACUAAUUGCAGCCACUUUGUUAGGUAUUGGCGAUUUUUCUUUUGUCAAUUCUCCAGGAUCUGAAGUUCCGAAUCAACUGCAGUAAUUCUGAAUAUAACAGAUGAAGAUUUAUGUAGUGACAUUGUACAAUAAUAGGGUGGAAAGUUUAUUUAUAUUUUUCAUUCAUGCUAGUGUACUGUGUACUGUAAGCACAAGUUCUUGUUUUUUGAUGAUUAUACGUGCAAGCUAAUAAUAUGCCCAACUAGUGCAGUUGUGUCCAGAUUACUAGAAGAUGGAUAGAAAGGGGAAUGGAUUAGCAAAUCCAAAGAAAAGGGAAAGAGGUAAUUUCUGAAAUUUUGUAGUAAUUUCUCAUUGAGUUGGCUAUGCUUUCUACCGGUAGCGACGGCAACAAUUGAAAGGGCCUUCUCAUCAAUGAAAAUCAUCAAGACUGAGUUGCGCAGCAAGAUGACCGAUGGUUGGCUUAAUGGCUUGAGGUUUGUUAUAUUGAGCGAGAGAUCUUCAAAAGUAUUGGUCUUGGUAAAAUUAAGAAAGAUUUUCAGAAAUGAGGGUAGGGCAUUGCCAUUGCCUGGGUCAUUGAGCCGCCAUUGAAAGCUUUAUUAUCGUUAUGUUUUAAGUUGUUUUCCUAUUGAAACAUGCCUACAUUUUUAUUGUAUUUAGUUUUUCGGUUGUAAUCUGUAUUGACUCUUUCGAUUUGCAUCAAAAGAAUUCUUUCCUUAAGACUUCGCCACACCUUAAAUUUUUUUCGUCCUCCGCCUCUGAGGCCAGACAUACAUUGCCUCUAAUUUCUUCUGAUCCAAAUCUGAUGCACAAAAGCUAAAAAAAAGGGCAUUGACAAAAAGAAUCAAAGAUGCCACCAGAAGAGUACACUUGGUAACUUCAAAAAAAAAAAAAAAGAAGAAGAGUACACUUGGUUUAACUAUCACAUUCACAUGGCAGCAAAUUCAACGUAAGCAUUUUUGCGAUUUUGUACUGGAUCGUUACAUUACUUGACCCACGACACGAUUCAUUCAAGAAUUGUGGGAACUUGCGCGGAUGGUAAGUUAACGAGUCACUGACUCAAAGUGGUAGAGAUCGUAACACGAUGCUAUGCUCCUAGACAUAGUUCAAGCUGAACUGUAAGCAAAUGAACCUUAUAUGCGUUCUGGCGCCAUCCUUCUAUACCCUUUGUGAAAUGGAGCCGUAGACCUUUCUGUGAUGUGGUACCCUACUGGUUCCGCCUUAGCUAUCUAUCUAUGGUGUAGUGCAGGUGAGCUUGAUCACUCUGCAGUUUCGGUGAUGAGCUCCUUGAGUACCUGUUUUAGGCCACUCAUCUUCUUCCGGGCUCUCUGCGAACCAUUUCCGUGGAAAAGGUUAGCAUUUGAUCAAUACUGGCAUCCCUGGGGUUUAGGAAUGAUGUUUGACUUACCUUCUGAACCUCCGAGAUUUUGGUUUCGGCGUCCUUGAGCUGAGAAUCAACUGUUCUCUCGGCAUGUUGGAGGAGCUUCUUGUGUGAUGCUCCUGUUGAUGCAAUCAUAAAACAACACCAUGGUUAAGUGGUAAUCCUGGUGGCAAACGGUUAGAAAAACAGAGCAUUUAAACAGAUUUCUUCAAGUGGCUGUAUGGUUAUAUAUUCCAUUUGCCUCUUAAAAAUGAUAACAGUGAGCUAAAACUAUAAUUACUUCACUGCUGACUAUUUCUUCUAAUCAUGUGCCAAUGUAGAUUGGACGAUCAUUCUUUUUCAAUUAAAAACCAUCUGAUUUAACCACAUUAUUCAGCAACAAACGUCAAACCUUACAAUGUUGGAAUCUUAUGUGCCUGGGUCAGAUGACAUAAAGUUUGCAAUCUGUAAUCAAACUGCUCCAAUGGUGAUACUUCAUAAGGCUCCGUUUUGACAAAGGUUAACAUGAUUCCACAUUUUUGGGAGUUCAUGCAGUAUCAGUUUGCAAUAAAUAGUCCAGCAAGUAAAAUAUUGCAUUUGCAUUUUGCAAGUGUAUGGUUUCAAGUUAAACUUACUUUGCUUGUCAGCUGCUCCCUUAAGUUCUGCAUGAUAGGCUUCAAAUUCCUCAAGCGAGUUCUUGCAACCAAGCAACUGCUGAUUAACCUCCUCCUUAAACUUCUCAUGAAGAACCCUUAACUGUUCUUGUUGCUCUGAAACAGGAAGACAUAGGACCAGGUAUAUCAUUUGAGUAACUAACGUUUAUUCAAGAGAAACAACAGAAGACAUGCAAGAAAACAAGGUAAAGUAUAAGGAUUCCCCAAAGGAAUCUUGCGACAAAUGUGCCUUGCUAACCAAACAGGCGACUAGCCUGGUCAAACAUACCUAACUUCUGGUGUGGCAUGGUUAGCAUACCAACCAAACAGGCUCUAAGCCUAAAUAUAUGCAUACACAGUAAAAAAUCCAAAGGGUAGAAGAUACUCCAAAGAUGUUUUGUAUUCUUCAAUAUGGACUAAAUAUGGACAGAAAUGAGUGAACACACUAAAAUGCAUCUAUACACACCCAAAUCAGAAAAAAGUAGAACAUCUUAUAAUAGUGAACGGAGGGACUAGUAAAUAAGAAAUAACCAAACUAUAGUGGAUAAGUGCAGGCAGAUUCAAAGAAAUGGUACAUUAAUUUUUCUCAAAUUAAUCUUUCAUGGCACUGAUUUUAUGCUUCAGCAUUCAGACGAUGAAAGUGAUUCAAGAACAAAAUCAACCUAUUUAAGCUUAGUUUUUGGGGAUUCUUUAUAUGCAUUCAACAUUCGUCUUAUUAUGUUUUUCUAAGUUUAGGAUACGCUGGACCUACAUAACAUACAGGAAUCAGAUCAUGACUUUAUAUGUCUAUACGAAUACUCUACAACUUACUGAAGUAUAAGAUUAUGUAAAUUGCUCGAGCUGAAUAAUCCAAAUAGCUGAAGUAUGAGUGGCACAAUGGAUCAGAAUACUAGUACACAUCAUAUCUUUAUAGAUACAGCUUUCUGGACGGAUUCUGACUAAUGGGUCUAAUCUUCAUAAAACUCAUGAUUCACAAUAACAGACCACAAAACUAAUUUCUGCAGUAACAUAAUAUAGGUUGUACCUUCAAAUGUUGAUUCUAGUCGCUUUCUUUUAGAUUUUCCUGCAUUGACCAGCUUAUCCCUGAAAGUACAGUUGAAUGUGUCAAAAAUAGCUGCACCUCUAAUAUAUGUGAUACUUUUAUAACAAGCCUAGAUAUACAACUAGGUCUGUAUAUGCAGAUAAGAUGUUGUUUCUUGGUAGCGCCGGCAAAGAUCUUACACAUCAUCCUGCAUCUGCACCUCAACUCCCUCAAGGUGCUGGCGUAUUAUCUCCCCAGUACCUGCCAGUAUCUCAGAACUUUUGUUUCUUGUUUCAGACUUGAUCUUGGUUUGAAACCUUCCCAGCACCACCAGUAACUGAUCAAAAGCCCUGGUUACAAUCAAGAAACAAAAUUGGAUCAACCAACAAUAUCAGAUAUGUAUUUCUUUACACAAUCUACAAAACGGACCUGGUUAGGUAGUCAUCUGGGCAUUGCACUGGUUCUUUGUCUGACAUUAUAGUUUCUUGUGUUCCUGAAUGAAUUAGUAAUGACAUAUCAGUUAUGAACUGCAACCGUUAGUUGAACGUAAGAAGGUAAUCAACUUUACCUGAAGUGACAAAAGGAAUAGGCGAAGGUAAGCGCCGUUUUUUGCCUCUUUUACCAUCUUUCAUAUGUGAUUUCCUAUCCAGAUUUUCUGGAGGAGAUUUAUCAGGGCUGUCUACAUCUGAAAGCCAUUUGCGAGAUUUAUAUCCUACACAUGAAGAACCAGUUAUAGAUAAGUAACACUUACAGGUAAACAAUUUUUGGAUAAAUAUAUGACAUAGUGUAAUUUAUACGUCUCCAACAGCAUGUGGGAAAAGCUUGGCUCACGUUAUUAAUUUUCCAGAACUAAAGUGUCAAAAUAUUAAACUUAAAACACUUAGCAAAAAACAAUAAUGAAACGCAUUUAAAGUAGCAUGAAUGCACAUGACAGAAUAUGCCACAUGUUGCUUCUAUUCCAUUUGAAUGGCUUGCAUGAGCAAGCACUUCAUACAAUAGUUAAAGAGUGAGUGGAUCAUGUUUUGGAGAGCCUUAACCUUAAAGCCACAGUAGGACUAUUGGAUGCUCUGCCACUGAUAGUGGUUGAUCAAUGAUUGCUAUGAAAAAAUUGUGGAAAUAGAGCUGAUGCAAUAAAAGUAGGACUAUCAGACAUAGUUAGAAAAAAAAACAUGCCUAGGCUCUAGGCGAUAGUAAAACACACCUAGUGCUUAAUGUGUGCAUAAAUACGCUUUGGUUAGCAAAGCGCAAGCAUGUGGCAAAAUGUGCAAUUAACACCUAGCAUUUUUUUUAACUUUGCUAUUGGAUGCUCUGACUCCCAAUGUUUAACUUUUUUUCAGGAAAAGGACAGGAGCUCUGCCAAUAAUGUUUAACUAGUAACAGAUACCUAGAGAAAGUCAAUUUAUAUGUGCAAAUACAUAAAGAAGAAUGUGUUCUAGAAGAGUAUUAUCCUCGUGCAGAACAGAUGGGGUAGUACUCUGUAAGCUAACACUGUCACCUUCGGUUCUAUAAAUGUAGCACUAAAUCUGAAAGUGACCAAACAUACUCUAGAA
rnacentral:lncRNA from 1 species